AACGUAGGUCACAAGCGUUGUCCGGAAUUACUGGGUGUAAAGGGAGCGCAGGCGGGCGAUCAAGUUGGAAGUGAAAUCCAUGGGCUCAACCCAUGAACUGCUUUCAAAACUGGUCGUCUUGAGUAGUGCAGAGGUAGGUGGAAUUCCCGGUGUAGCGGUGGAAUGCGUAGAUAUCGGGAGGAACACCAGUGGCGAAGGCGGCCUACUGGGCACCAACUGACGCUGAGGCUCGAAAGUGUGGGUAGCAAACAGG
rnacentral:rRNA from 1 species